CCUACGGUGUGCAGCAGUGAGGAAUAUUGGUCAAUGGACGCAAGUCUGAACCAGCCAUGCCGCGUGCAGGAAGACGGCUCUAUGAGUUGUAAACUGCUUUUGUACAAGGGUAAACCUGAAUACGUGUAUUCAGCUGAAAGUACCGUACGAAUAAGGAUCGGCUAACUCCGUGCCAGCAGCCGCGGUAAUACGGAGGAUUCAAGCGUUAUCCGGAUUUAUUGGGUUUAAAGGGUGCGUAGGCGGAGUGAUAAGUUAGAGGUGAAAUCUCCGGGCUUAACUUGGGAACUGCCUCUGAUACUGUUGAUCUAGAGAGUAGAUGCGGUAGGCGGAAUGUAUGGUAUAGCGGUGACAUGCUUAGAGAUCAUACAGAACACCGAUUGCGAAGGCAGCUUACCAAUCUAUAUCUGACGUUGAGGCACGAAAGCGUGGGGAGCAAACAGGAGUAGAUACCCUUGUAGUC
rnacentral:rRNA from 1 species